rnacentral:rRNA from 1 species
UUCUUAGUUCGUGGAGUGAUCUGUCUGCUUAAUUGCGUUUCACUAAGGGCCCAUAAAUUCAAGGUAUGUUAGCUAUCGUUUCUCAAUUGACCCCUUGUCUUCGAUAAGCGCGUGUCUUUUAGAGUUUAAACAUUGCGCAUGCUGUUGGGUCCUGAAAGCAACGAACGUGACCGCAACGUCUUAUUGCCUUUAUCUUGCUAUAUUUUAAUUUAAUUAAAAAUAGCUAACAGAGGCUAAUUUAAAAUUAGACGGACCGCUGUACUUUUCUUAAACCAGAGGAAGGUUGCGGCAAUAACAGGUCUGUGAUGCCCUUAGAUGUUCCGGGCUGCACACGUGCUACAAUGAUCAGUACAGUGAGCAUCUCAAUAUUAUACACCGUAUUAAGCGCUUAGUUGCGAUUAUUGGCUCAUUAUUGGGUCUUUUAAUUAAAUUUCUAAUGCGCGCGGUAAAGCCUGCUUCGAGAGUAAGUGGGUAAUCCAUUGGAAGUAAUGAUUUCUCUUUUUAUAGCACACCUAUAUACGGCAUUCAUUCCCGGGACGACUAGUUUCGUC